rnacentral:ribozyme from 13 species
AAAAUAACAGAAAAAAUAAGAAAGCAAAUAAAAAAAAAAAUAUAAUAUAUAAAUAACAUAACAACAUAUUUAUUUUAUAUUUUUUUUUUUAUUUUUUUUAUUCAGU